GGGUGAAGAGAGAAUGAAGGCCUUUGGAUGGUUAUAAUUAUAAACCUGUGGGUGCUCUUGGAAAGAGAAGCUAUACAAAUGGAUGUGAGCUGCUCUCCCCUCCCUGUGUGUAAGGACUGGAAGAAAACUGGAGAAUAACAAUUUUAGGAGCUUAAAGGGAGUUUGUUCAGUAUUUGCCUUUCCUAAGAUUUCAGGGACCAGAUGACCCUCAUCAUCCAGUGGCUGAUUGUAUGGCUAUUUGUGAUAGAUUGUGUUAUUGUUGAAAACAUUGUCUUUCCCUGAAAUGCCCUUCCUGUGGUAUCUCUUCUGCUGGAGGGUUAUAUAUCCCUGCCCUGCUGAACUCAGUUUGCAGGCAAACGUCUGAAUCAUCCGUUUGAAAGAAGUGGCAGGAAAACAGGGAGCCCAGUCUGCCAGAUAAUAUUAGGAAAUGUCUAAUCUCCUCCAAGAGAAAAGAUAUUGGCCUGGAUGAAAAUGCAAAGAGUUUGUGGUCCUAGGAGAAAGAAAAUUCUAGAAGAGAAGAGAAAGGCCUGCAUGUGAGGAGGUACCCUUGAGAGAUGUGUACCACAGCAGUGGCUACUGCUUGAAGAUGUCCAUGAUUUUGGGAGCAGUACCCAACUGAUGUUGAAGAUGUCCAUGAUAUUGGGAACAGUACCCAACUGAGUUUAAAGAGGACAGUUGUCCAGUUGUCCUGCUUGUAGCCACCCAGCAUCACUGGAACACCUUCCUUUUUUCUACCUUGGAAUUUUCCAUCAUUUAAAAUCCACCUCCUGAAGGUAGAAGGCAGAGCUCACCUUCCUGGUCUCUCCAACAGCUGGUGCUCAGGCCUCUGAGCUAGGCUUUGGGUGAUAUGGGUUUCUUCUGUUUGUCCCUCCAGAUCCACUCUCCACCAUUCUCUACCUUUCCUGUCCUCCAGGAGGCUGACUUGGAUGGACUACAUCACCAAGGUUUCCUUGUCUCUUGCUUCUGGUUGGGUUUGGCCAAUGGCAGCAAUGGCAGGCAGUUGGAGAGUGGGAGGGGAGUGCAGUGGGGACAUUAACCCCCAGCUCCAUCUAUGCUGAGCAGUGUUCCUACUGUUGUUACAUUUCUAUACCUAAGAGCCCAGCUUGGGAAGGGAAGCUGUCACCAGGUUCCAGAAUAGCUCCUUUCCCUUGGCCCUUCAGAUCUAGGUGCAGUAAUGUUUUCCCCCUGUCGCUAGUUUUUGGGUGCUUUACCAUCCUUUCCCACACCAUUGCAAACAGCCCCCCUAAUAAACUUUCUGAAAGUAUCUUUCUGAGUGUGUCCUCUUUUUCCUGCUUGAUUCACUUUGUUCAUCAGAUCUUUGCCAAACCUUUACCCAAAAGCUUGUGACAGAAUAGAGCUGGAAUAACAUGAUGGUUAAUUGUAUGUGUUGACUUGGCUGGGCCAUGGCAUCUAGAUAUUUGGUCAAACUAUCUAGAUUCUGGAUGUUUUUAUAAAGGUGUUUUUGAAUGUGAUUAAUAUUUAA
rnacentral:lncRNA from 10 species